rnacentral:tRNA from 1 species
CCCUCUAUAGCUUAGUGGCAGAGCGGUUGGCUGUAGCCCGACAUGUCCCAGUUCGAUUCUGGGUGGAGGGA